rnacentral:tRNA from 1 species
UCCUCGAUAGCUCAGUGGUAGAGCAUCCGGCUGUUAACCGGAGGGUCGUAGGUUCAAAUCCUACUCGAGGAGCCA